rnacentral:tRNA from 2 species
GCCCGGGUGGCGGAAUUGGUAGACGCGCUAGGUUCAGGUCCUAGUCCGCUUUAUCGCGGGUGGGGGUUCGAGUCCCCCCUCGGGCACCA